GUGAACUCGAGCGAACGACUGGAGGUUGGCUGUUGCAGGUUCACUCCUUCAGGAUGUGGGUUUCAGGGGGCGUUUUGAUGUGAUUUAAUUCCGACCGUAAAACAAUUGCUAGGGGCUGGCUGGAUUGCUGUUGGUUUUUCCCCUCUUGGUGGCUUUGGUUGGUUUGGGUUUAGUUUGGGAGCGAACAGUGACUUGUUUUAUAUCAACACUUCCCUCAUUGCCGGGCGCGGUCGCCGGCGCUGCGCGUGGGGGACUAAGGCGCCCACCCCGAGCCGGAACCGAGGGUGGGGGAGCGGAGACCCGCCUCGCAGUCCGCAGGGUAAAUGGGGCCCAGCCCCCCGCGGGUGUGGUGGGGAACUAGGAGAAUGACCCCCACCCCCAACAGAGACCCCUCCCUCCGGCGAUUUUGCUGCUAAGUCGACUCGGCUACAGACACUCAAGCCCCUUUGUGUGACUAAAUUUGGCAAGAAUAUGGAUCCGAGCCAGUCUUUCCACGUGUGCUCCCAGCUCCCAGCUGAGAAGGCCAAGGGUUCUCUUCCGGUUAACAUGAAUAAAGAUAAAGAUAUUCAAGAGAAAAACAUGUUCAAUGAACACCUCCUGUUGCUUACAGCGGGGGACUAAAAAGUCCCUGUGCUUCAUCGUGGACUCUCCCUCAGGCUUUCUUUUCCCACACAGCAGUCUUACGCCAUAUGGCCCAAGUUCAUACUGUAGGCUCCAUGACUCCACAGCCACCCCACCAGGAGGCAUAACCGGCCCUGAGGCUACAGAGGUAGAAGAGACUGACUUCCUCCCUAGAGUUUACAUUCUAGCAAUGGGAAGCAAACAUGUAAACACAGAAAGACAGCUUGGUGGGGUGUGUGCAACAAUGCACAGUGUGCAUUUAAAGGGAAAACCAGUUCGGCUAUUAAGGGAAGCUCCCAACACAGAGCCGAGCUAGAGAAGGCAGGGUUUCAGAGAGAAUAGCUCUGUAUCAUCAAAGCGAACCAGGUUCCACACAGACAUGGCAUAUCAUACACAAGACAAAGAUAACAGGACACUCCAGGGAGUAGCAGCCUCAGCCAUUCUUGCUGUAUGCCCUUCUAGGAUGGGGCACUGGACAUCGCCAGCCCACAAACAUCCCUUCCUGUGCAGGCUUGUUUCAAUAAACUGCCUCUGCAUUCACUGUGUGGAAUGAGGCACACUGCCCAGGAAAAAUGCCCCUUGUGAACAAUAAAAAAUAAUAAUCACGUA